rnacentral:snRNA from 1 species
GUGCUUGCCUCGGCAGCACAAAUACUAAAAUGGGAAUGAUACAGAGAAGAUUAGCAUGGCUCCUGCACAAGACUGACAUGCAAAUUCACAAAGCAUUCCAUAUUUUU